rnacentral:rRNA from 1 species
UCGGCUUAGAGUUUGAUCAUGGCUCAGAUUGAACGCUGGCGGCAGGCCUAACACAUGCAAGUCGAGCGGUAGGGAAGCUUGCUUCUCACAAGCGGCGGACGGGUGAGUAAUGUAUGGGGAUCUGCCCGAUAGAGGGGGAUAACUACUGGAAACGGUAGCUAAUACCGCAUAAUCUCUAAAGAGCAAAGCAGUUCUUUGCGCUAUCGGAUGAACCCAUAUGGGAUUAGCUAGUUGGUGAGGUAAUGGCUCACCAAGGCGACAAUCCCUAUCUGGUCUGAGAGGAUGAUCAGCCACACUGGGACUGAGACACGGCCCACACUCCUACGGGAGGCAGCAGUGGGGAAUAUUGCACAAUGGGCGCAAGCCUGAUGCACCCAUGCCGCGUGUAUGAAGAAAGCCUUAUGGUUGUAAAGUACUUUCAGUUGGGAGGAAGGCGUUGAUUAAUAUCAGCGAUUGACGUUACCAACAGAAGAAGCACCGGCUAACUCCGUGCCAGCAGCCGCGGUAAUACGGAGGGUGCAAGCGUUAAUCGGAAUUACUGGGCGUAAAGCGCACGCGGCGGUUGAUUAAGUUAGAUGUGAAAUCCCCGGGCUUAACCUGGGAAUGGCAUCUAAGACUGGUCAUCUAGAGUCUUGUAGAGGGGGGUA